rnacentral:lncRNA from 1 species
CUUGGCCUCUCAAGGUGCUGGGAUUACAGGCAUGAACCACCACGCCCAGUGCCCACACUUAUUCUUAAAAAAGCAUUUGCUGUUUAUCUGAAAUGUAAAUUUAAUUGGACAUCUCAUAUUUAUCUGGCAACCCUAAUCCAAGACCUCACAGGUAGCAGGAUCCGCCAUACCAAAAUCAGCGACCUGAUAAAUAAGCAAGGCUUUUCAAAAUGAACGCCACUAAAACUCAUCAUGGCAGGUGUGGGUGGUCUGAGAAGCCUGCGGUGCUCUUGCUGAGGGAGUGCACCUUAGAGGAACAUGCAGGAACAAAGGCGCCUUCUAAGAGCCUGAGACCAAGAAGACACAGAACUGGGGGCCCAGACAGAAGCAAAUGGUUAGGAAUGC